rnacentral:rRNA from 1 species
AGUGAACGCUGGCGGUAGGCCUAACACAUGCAAGUCGAACGGCAGCACAGUAAUAGCUUGCUCUUACGGGUGGCGAGUGGCGGACGGGUGAGGAAUACAUCGGAAUCUACUUUUUCGUGGGGGAUAACGUAGGGAAACUUACGCUAAUACCGCAUACGACCUACGGGUGAAAGCAGGGGAUCUUCGGACCUUGCGCGAUUGAAUGAGCCGAUGUCGGAUUAGCUAGUUGGCGGGGUAAAGGCCCACCAAGGCGACGAUCCGUAGCUGGUCUGAGAGGAUGAUCAGCCACACUGGAACUGAGACACGGUCCAGACUCCUACGGGAGGCAGCAGUGGGGAAUAUUGGACAAUGGGCGAAAGCCUGAUCCAGCCAUACCGCGUGGGUGAAGAAGGCCUUCGGGUUGUAAAGCCCUUUUGGUGGGAAAGAAAAGCAGCAGGUUAAUACCCCGCUGUUCUGACGGUACCCAAAGAAUAAGCACCGGCUAACUUCGUG